AUUGAACGCUGGCGGCAUGCUUUACACAUGCAAGUCGAACGGCAGCGCGGGCUUCGGCCUGGCGGCGAGUGGCGAACGGGUGAGUAAUACAUCGGAACGUGCCCAGUAGUGGGGGAUAGCUCGGCGAAAGCCGGAUUAAUACCGCAUACGACCUGAGGGUGAAAGCGGGGGAUCUUCGGACCUCGCGCUAUUGGAGCGGCCGAUGGCAGAUUAGCUAGUUGGUGGGGUAAAGGCCUACCAAGGCGACGAUCUGUAGCUGGCCUGAGAGGACGACCAGCCACAAGGGGACUGAGAGACGGCCCAGAACCCUACGGGAGGCAGCAGUGGGGAAGUUUGGACAAGGGGGGAAAGCUUGACCAAGCAAGGCAGCGUGUGUGAUGAAGGCCGUCGGGUUGUAAAGCACUUUUGGCGGGAAAGAAAAGGACUGUGGCAAGACCACGGGUCGGUGACGGAACCCGAAGAAUAAGCACCGGCGAAUUAGGG
rnacentral:rRNA from 1 species